CCGCAGGGCUGGGGGUCCCGCCGGCCCGUCCCGUGCAGGGCGCAGCCUGGGGAAAGCUAGGAGGCCGUAUAGUGAUCUCCUUGGGUGUCCUCCUCAACUAUACAACCUCCUACCUCAGCCCGGGGGGCGCGGCCGGUGGACAGAGCAGACAGAUAGACAGACAGGGCCAGGAGGGCCGGGGAGGGCGGGGAGGGCCGGGGAGGCCCCAGCCGCGAUGAUGAGCCCCCGACACGGACCCACAGACACGAGCUUGUGUGCGGCGAAGGCCCCGCAAGGUGAGGCAGGUGAGGCAGGUGAGGCGGCCCAGCCUCAGAGAGGGGAGGAGACUUGCCAAAGCCAGCCUGAGAAACUGAGGCGGAGAGAGAAGGGUCAGGACUUGUUCAAGGUCACUGGACGAGGCGUUGGUGGAAACGCGAUCUCCCUGGGCUGGCUUCGGGGAUGGGGUAGGCGCUGGACUUCCCCCAGGCCUAGGUCCCCCUCCCCCUCUCUGCGGACCCUGGGGAGCCCCCAAGGGUCAGAGAGCAGACCCAAACAGUCUGGCACCAUGGCAACCAGCUGGCCCCGCCCCCUUAACCCCUGGAGGGCUGGACUCCAGCUGGGGCUAAAGAGAAGGUGGGGACUCCUGGGUUCUGGGGGUCCCCUGAACUCCAGGCUUUGAAGGGAGGGGGGGCCUGAGCUCUUGGGUUCUAGCGGAGGAGGGGUUGGUGCUCGUGCUCCUGGGGAGGUGAGCCCGGGGUUUUGAACUCUGAGGCCUUGAAAGGGGUGGGGGCUCGAAUGUGGACUACCUGGUCUGAGAGAAGAGGCUGGGGGCCCAGACUCCUGGAUCCUGGGGAAAAGGGGGCCAGGGGUUCGGAUUUGGGAAUUCGGGGUGCAGCAGACUCCCAGGUCAGAGGGAGGAGAGGGCUGGGGCCUGGAAUCCCGGGUCGCCAAGGGAGCCUGGAUACCGGGCCUCUCCUCCGCCAGACAUCCCCUGCCCCCGCCGCUGACCCUGGCCUGUCUGGCAGCCCAGACAACCUCCCCCUCCUCCUCAGCCCCCUCCCACUGGCACGGCUCACCCUUGACCCCUCAAAGCCCCGCAGCCCCAUCCCUGCCCCUCCCCCUCCCCCCAGCCAGCCGUUAACCCUUCCCACGCCCGAGGCACCUCCGAAGCCGCACCGUCUUCCUCCACCUCCCCGGAGAGCCGGAGCAUCUCGCCCCUGGCCUCCUCCAC